GAUGAACGCUGGCGGCGUGCCUAAUACAUGCAAGUCGAGCGAACAGAUGAGGAGCUUGCUCCUCUGACGUUAGCGGCGGACGGGUGAGUAACACGUGGAUAACCUACCUAUAAGACUGGGAUAACUACGGGAAACCGGAGCUAAUACCGGAUAAUAUAUUGAACCGCAUGGUUCAAUAGUGAAAGACGGUUUUGCUGUCACUUAUAGAUGGAUCCGCGCCGCAUUAGCUAGUUGGUAAGGUAACGGCUUACCAAGGCAACGAUGCGUAGCCGACCUGAGAGGGUGAUCGGCCACACUGGAACUGAGACACGGUCCAGACUCCUACGGGAGGCAGCAGUAGGGAAUCUUCCGCAAUGGGCGAAAGCCUGACGGAGCAACGCCGCGUGAGUGAUGAAGGUCUUCGGAUCGUAAAACUCUGUUAUUAGGGAAGAACAAAUGUGUAAGUAACUAUGCACGUCUUGACGGUACCUAAUCAGAAAGCCACGGCUAACUA
rnacentral:rRNA from 1 species